CUAUGGAAAAUGUUUUUUAUUUUUAAGAUAUCUUGACCAAACUCGGCAUUUAUAUUUACUAUGCCUCGUACAUUUAUACUGCGGAAGAAUAAAGCGUAGACAACAGUGAAACGAGCAAAACUGGCAGCUAAAUUAACUACAGCCAGCCCAGCGAAAUAACACAUUCAAAUUCUGGAGUGUACCAAAGGGAGCUCACGUCUCACCAAGACGGUGACCUUCCGCCAGCCGAUCGAGUGAUAGACAUAAUAAACGUCUUUAUAGAGGCUUGGGUUUUGCAUUCGCUUAGGGCUUGUGCCAUAAAAUGUUGACCUGGAAGAGGGUAACGAGCAGAAAAUUGAAAAUACGAGACUGCCGCUAAAAAGAAAUGCAAAUGGGCAUAAAAUUAGUAAGGCCAUUCUGCGGAUGUGACCAAAGCAGUCAUUCGGCGGAUGGCCUUGACACACACACACAAAUACGCAACCGAAAUGGCGUAGCACAAAGAAUUUGGCCUUUAUUUAGCCAAAUAAGAAGAUAAAAACACAGUACAACCGGCUAGGAAGCAUGAAAAAUGGCAGCUGCUCAUUUGGCUGUAAUUUAGUGUUGAGCAGGACUAUGAUUGAUAACCGAGCGGACAGCAUGGCUAAAAAAGGGCCCUGCUGCUAGACAUAAUAUACUCAAAUUUACAUUUGCCAAAUUUGUCAUGUGCUUGUUGCCUCCGCACAUUCUUAGGCCACUUUAAAGUUCCCCUAAAAUUCGGACAACUCACCUGCAUAAAUUGUGAUAAUAGCAGUUUGCAUAACGAAUACUGCCAACAGAAUUGCCAAUAUUUGCGUGUGUGAACUGCUUCAACGUUUGGCCAACUCACAUUCCGUUAGUAAAUAAUUUUAUUUCAAAUACAAAUGAACAUUUA